rnacentral:rRNA from 1 species
GACGAAUGCUGGCUGCGUGCUUAACACAUGCAAGUCGAACGGUGAAGGGGAGCUUGCUCCCCGGAUCAGUGGCGAACGGGUGAGUAACACGUGGGCAACCUGCCCCUCACUCUGGGAUAACUCCGGGAAACCGGGGCUAAUACCGGAUACGACCGGGAGCGACAUCGCUCCUGGUGGAAAGAACUUCGGUGAGGGAUGGGCCCGCGGCCUAUCAGCUAGUUGGUGGGGUAACAGCCCACCAAGGCGACGACGGGUAGCCGGCCUGAGAGGGCGACCGGCCACACUGGGACUGAGACACGGCCCAGACUCCUACGGGAGGCAGCAGUGGGGAAUAUUGCGCAAUGGGCGAAAGCCUGACGCAGCGACGCAGCGUGAGGGACGAAGGCCUUCGGGUUGUAAACCCCUUUCAGCGGGGACGAAGCGAAAGUGACGGUACCCGCAGAAGAAGCACCGGCUAACUACGUGCCAGCCGCCGCGGUAA